GCCUUAGGUUGCCUACCCCUGGUACAGAGAAUGAGACUGUUAAUCUCUGGGUGAUGGGUUCGAACCCCACAUUGGGCA